rnacentral:rRNA from 1 species
AUUGAACGCUGGCGGCAUGCUUUACACAUGCAAGUCGAACGGCAGCGCGGGCUUCGGCCUGGCGGCGAGUGGCGAACGGGUGAGUAAUGCAUCGGAACGUGCCCAGUAGUGGGGGAUAGCCCGGCGAAAGCCGGAUUAAUACCGCAUACGACCUGAGGGUGAAAGCGGGGGACCGAAAGGCCUCGCGCUAUUGGAGCGGCCGAUGUCGGAUUGGCUAGUUGGUGGGGUAAAGGCUUACCAAGGCGACGAUCCGUAGCUGGUCUGAGAGGACGACCAGCCACACUGGGACUGAGACACGGCCCAGACUCCUACGGGAGGCAGCAGUGGGGAAUUUUGGACAAUGGGGGCAAGCCUGAUCCAGCCAUGCCGCGUGCGGGAAGAAGGCCUUCGGGUUGUAAACCGCUUUUGUUCGGGAAGAAAUCCUCUGGGCUAAUACCCCGGGGGGAUGACGGUACCGGAAGAAUAAGCACCGGCUAACUACGUG